GGUUAAGCGACUAAGCGUACACGGUGGAUGCCCUGGCAGUCAGAGGCGAUGAAGGACGUGCUAAUCUGCGAAAAGCGUCGGUAAGGUGAUAUGAACCGUUAUAACCGGCGAUGUCCGAAUGGGGAAACCCAGUGCAAUUCGUUGCACUAUCGUUAACUGAAUACAUAGGUUAACGAGGCGAACCGGGGGAACUGAAACAUCUAAGUACCCCGAGGAAAAGAAAUCAACCGAGAUUCCCCCAGUAGCGGCGAGCGAACGGGGAGCAGCCCAGAGUCUGAAUCAGCUUGUGUGUUAGUGGAACGGUCUGGAAAGUCCGACGGUACAGGGUGAUAGUCCCGUACACCAAAAUGCACAGGUUGUGAACUCGAAGAGUAGGGCGGGACACGUGGUAUCCUGUCUGAAUAUGGGGGGACCAUCCUCCAAGGCUAAAUACU
rnacentral:rRNA from 2 species